rnacentral:ncRNA from 2 species
AUAUUUGCAGCAAAUUAAGGUUGUGUUUUAUUAUUAACACAUUAAAAGGGAAUCAAGUAAAAAUUCUUGAGCUGUACCCGCAACUGUAAGCUUUGUUCUGAAAAGAAUGCUUGUUGUAAACUACAAAACCACUGUUCGCCGCGGCGAAUGGGAAGGUAAACAACAAGACGCAAGCCAGGAGACCUGCCUUUGUAACAAAUAUCGA